rnacentral:misc_RNA from 1 species
GAUGAAGAACGCAGCGAAAUGCGAUAAGUAAUGUGAAUUGCAGAAUUCAGUGAAUCAUCGAAUCUUUGAACGCACAUUGCGCCCGCCAGUAUUCUGGCGGGCAUGCCUGUUCGAGCGUCAUUUCAACCAUCAAGCCCCCGGGCUUGUGUUGGGGACCUGCGGCUGCCGCAGGCCCUGAAAAGCAGUGGCGGGCUCGCUGUCACACCGAGCGUAGUAGAUUUUAUCUCGCUCUGGGCGUGCUGCGGGUUCCGGCCGUUAAACCACCCUUUUAACCCAAGGUUGACCUCGGAUCAGGUAGAAAGACCCGCUGAACUUAAGCAUAUCAAUAAGCGGAGGA